UGCAGUCGAGCGGACAGAUGGGAGCUUGCUCCCUGAUGUUAGCGGCGGACGGGUGAGUAACACGUGGGUAACCUGCCUGUAAGACUGGGAUAACUCCGGGAAACCGGGGCUAAUACCGGAUGGUUGUUUGAACCGCAUGGUUCAAACAUAAAAGGUGGCUUCGGCUACCACUUACAGAUGGACCCGCGGCGCAUUAGCUAGUUGGUGAGGUAACGGCUCACCAAGGCAACGAUGCGUAGCCGACCUGAGAGGGCGGUUGAUCGGCCACACUGGGACUGAGACACGGCCCAGACUCCUAGAGACGGGAGGCAGCAGUAGGGAAUCUUCCGCAAUGGACGAAAGUCUGACGGAGCAACGCCGCGUGAGUGAUGAAGGUUUUCGGAUCGUAUGUUGUUAGGGAAGAACAAGUACCGUUCGAAUAGGGCGGUACCUUGACGGUACCUAACCAGAAAGCCACGGCUAACUACGUGCCAGCAGCCGCGGUAAUACGUAGGUGGCAAGCGUUGUCCGGAAUUAUUGGGCGUAAAGGGCUCGCAGGCUUCUUAAGUCUGAUGUGAAAGCCCCCGGCUCAACCGGGGAGGGUCAUUGGAAACUGGGGAACUUGAGUGCAGAAGAGGAGAGUGGAAUUCCACGUGUAGCGGUGAAAUGCGUAUGUGGAGGAACACCAGUGGCGAAGGCGACUCUCUGGUCUGUAACUGACGCUGAGGAGCGAAAGCGUGGGGAGCGAACAGGAUUAGAUACCCUGGUAGUCCACGCCGUAAACGAUGAGUGCUAAGUGUUAGGGGGUUUCCGCCCCUUAGUGCUGCAGCUAACGCAUUAAGCACUCCGCCUGGGGAGUACGCAAGACUGAAACUCAAAGCUCAAACGGGGGCCCGCACAAGCGGUGGAGCAUGUGGUUUAAUUCGAAGCAACGCGAAGAACCUUACCUUGACAUCCUCUGACAAUCCUAGAGAUAGGACGUCCCCUUCGGGGGCAGAGUGACAGGUGGUGCAUGGUUGUCGUCAGCUCGUGUCGUGAGAUGUUGGGUUAAGUCCCGCAACGAGCGCAACCCUUGAUCUUAGUUGCCAGCAUUCAGUUGGGCACUCUAAGGUGACUGCCGGUGACAAACCGGANNGGAAGGUGGGGAUGACGUCAAAUCAUCAUGCCCCUUAUGACCUGGGCUACACACGUGCUACAAUGGACAGAACAAAGGGCAGCGAAACCGCGAGGUUAAGCCAAUCCCACAAAUCUGUUCUCAGUUCGGAUCGCAGUCU
rnacentral:rRNA from 1 species